AUUGAACGCUGGCGGCAGGCCUAACACAUGCAAGUAGAGCGGUAGCACAGAGAGCUUGCUCUCGGGUGACGAGCGGCGGACGGGUGAGUAAUGUCUGGGAAACUGCCUGAUGGAGGGGGAUAACUACUGGAAACGGUAGCUAAUACCGCAUAAUGUCGCAAGACCAAAGAGGGGGACCUUCGGGCCUCUUGCCAUCAGAUGUGCCCAGAUGGGAUUAGCUAGUAGGUGGGGUAACGGCUCACCUAGGCGACGAUCCCUAGCUGGUCUGAGAGGAUGACCAGCCACACUGGAACUGAGACACGGUCCAGACUCCUACGGGAGGCAGCAGUGGGGAAUAUUGCACAAUGGGCGCAAGCCUGAUGCAGCCAUGCCGCGUGUAUGAAGAAGGCCUUCGGGUUGUAAAGUACUUUCAGCGGGGAGGAAGGUGUUGAGGUUAAUAACCUCAGCAAUUGACGUUACCCGCAGAAGAAGCACCGGCUAACUCCGUGCCAGCCGCCGCGGUAAAAC
rnacentral:rRNA from 1 species